GGAAGAAGGCGAAGCAUGCGACUGCGGUCUCCCAUCACGAUGCAGCCACAGAGACCCUUGCUGCACCCCGCGAGCUGGCGGAGCGCUGGUUUUUGAUGAGGGAGCUCUACACAAAGAAGGCUGCUCAGUGGCGCCCUCUGCGGUAUGCCACCCCUCGCAAGGACUAUGCUGCAACUCCAAGUGCCAGUAUGCGGAUCUCUCGAAUAGCGGUAUUGACUGCAAACGGCAAGAGAGUGAAUGCACAUGUGUGAGCGAGGCCACUGAGUGCCGCUGCGGACUCAACGGGCGCUGCUUCGAGGACGGCAGCUGUCAUGCGGCGGAGUGCGCCAUAUUAGGGCUGCGG